GACAGAGGGUGCAAACGUUGUUCGGAAUUACUGGGCGUAAAGCGCGUGUAGGCGGUCGUGCAAGUCGGGUGUGAAAGCCCAUAGCUCAACUAUGGAAGUGCAUUCGAUACUGCGCGACUGGAGUCCCGGAGAGGAUGGUGGAAUUCUCGGUGUAGAGGUGAAAUUCGUAGAUAUCGAGAGGAACACCGGUGGCGAAGGCGGCCAUCUGGACGGUGACUGACGCUGAGACGCGAAAGCGUGGGGAGCAAACAGG
rnacentral:rRNA from 1 species